GUCAGCAGACCUCGUAGGAGACUCUGAUUUGUUUGCAGUGAAAGACCCAGGAGGAAGCGGAGGAACAAGUCCAGGUGUCCAUUUGGACUUUGUAAGGCCUUGUCCACAGCACUCUGGUAGAAACUUGUUUUUGUUGUUGUUGUUUGUUCUUCUGCCAGCAGGUUG